GCCUGCGAGUCCAGGCCGUAAGGUACUGGCAGACGGCUCAGUAACACGCGGAUAAUCCACCCUUAGGUGGGGUAUAGCCUUGGGAAACUGAGAUUAAUCCCCCAUAGAUCCCGGAAACUGGAAUGUUACGGGUUUGAAAGUUACGACGCCUAAGGACGAGUCUGCGGCCUAUCAGGUAGUAGGUGGGGUAAAGGCCCACAUAGCCUAUGACGGGUACGGGCACUGAGAGGUGUAGCCCGGAGAUGGGUUCUGAGACACGAACCCAGGCCCUACGGGGCGCAGCAGGCGCGAAACCUUCGCAAUGCGCGCAAGCGCGACGAGGGGAACUCGAGUGCAAUUGUCAUUUUUGAUGAUUGCUUUUCUUGAUCCUAAAAAGAUCAGGGAAUAAAAGCUGGGUAAGACGGGUGCCAGCCGCCGCGGUAAUACCCGCAGCUCAAGUGGUGGCCACUAUUAUUGAGCCUAAAGCGUCCGUAGCCGGUCUUGUAAAUCUCUGGGUAAAUCCUGCCGCUUAAUGGUGGGAAUGCUGGAUAGACUGCAAGACUGGGGAUCGGGUGAAGUGAGAGGUACUCCUGGGGUAGGGGUAAAAUCCUGUAAUCCUGGGGGGACGACCGGUGGCGAA
rnacentral:rRNA from 1 species